rnacentral:rRNA from 1 species
UCGAUUCCCUUAGUAGCGGCGAGCGAAACGGGAAGAGCCCAAACCAACAAGCUUGCUUGUUGGGGUUGUAGGACACUCUAUACGGAGUUACAAAGGACGACAUUAGACGAAUCAUCUGGAAAGAUGAAUCAAAGAAGGUAAUAAUCCUGUAGUCGAAAAUGUUGUCUCUCUUGAGUGGAUCCUGAGUACGACGGAGCACGUGAAAUUCCGUCGGAAUCUGGGAGGACCAUCUCCUAAGGCUAAAUACUCUCUAGUGACCGAUAGUGAACCAGUACCGUGAGGGAAAGGUGAAAAGCACCCCGGAAGGGGAGUGAAAUAGAACCUGAAACCGUGUGCUUACAAGUAGUCAGAGCCCGUUAAUGGGUGAUGGCGUGCCUUUUGUAGAAUGAACCGGCGAGUUACGAUUUGAUGCAAGGUUAAGCAGUAAAUGUGGAGCCGUAGCGAAAGCGAGUCUGAAUAGGGCGUUUAGUAUUUGGUCGUAGACCCGAAACCAGGUGAUCUACCCUUGGUCAGGUUGAAGUUCAGGUAACACUGAAUGGAGGACCGAACCGACUUACGUUGAAAAGUGAGCGGAUGAACUGAGGGUAGCGGAGAAAUUCCAAUCGAACCUGGAGAUAGCUGGUUCUCUCCGAAAUAGCUUUAGGGCUAGCCUCAAGUGAUGAUUAUUGGAGGUAGAGCACUGUUUGGACGAGGGGCCCCUCUCGGGUUACCGAAUUCAGACAAACUCCGAAUGCCAAUUAAUUUAACUUGGGAGUCAGAACAUGGGUGAUAAGGUCCGUGUUCGAAAGGGAAACAGCCCAGACCACCAGCUAAGGUCCCAAAAUAUAUGUUAAGUGGAAAAGGAUGUGGCGUUGCCCAGACAACUAGGAUGUUGGCUUAGAAGCAGCCAUCAUUUAAAGAGUGCGUAAUAGCUCACUAGUCGAGUGACACUGCGCCGAAAAUGUACCGGGGCUAAACAUAUUACCGAAGCUGUGGAUUGUCCUUUGGACAAUGGUAGGAGAGCGUUCUAAGGGCGUUGAAGCAUGAUCGUAAGGACAUGUGGAGCGCUUAGAAGUGAGAAUGCCGGUGUGAGUAGCGAAAGACGGGUGAGAAUCCCGUC